UGCAGCCCCAGCACGGGGCGAAGGCUGCCCUGCCCCAUGGGGACCUGACCCGGCCGCGGGCCCAGCUGGGGUGAAAAGGCUCCUUGAGAGAGAGCCCCUCCUUGCUGCAAAGCAAAGGCAUGGAGAGCGCUGGGAUCGCAGCCCUUCUCUUAAGGAUUUCAAAACCGUCUGCUGUCACCUCACUCCAUCUCUGUCAGCACUGGGAUGUGCAGGAAUUAAGCAGCCAGCCCUGGGACGCACCUCCAAGAGAAAGCUCUGCACCCACCAGCACAGCAUCCUCCACACCGUGCCCAAAAAGUAUUCAGAGGAGCAGAGAAAGCUGAAAUCCCCUCCCAACACCACCCCCUCCAAGGGCUCGGGGUGUAGAGAUCUGCCAUUAGGAGAUCAGAGAGCUCUGCAUCCCUCUGUGCCAUCUCUGAGCCCCACGUCUCCAUGCUGCUCCCGGGGUAAGAGCCAAUCCUGCACACACCCUGCCCUGCUGCAAAGUAAAACCCCAACCACUGCAUGUGCAAAGCAGUCCAUCCCCUUACAGCCACCUUCUGUCAUCAAGGAAUCGGUAGGGGUGGGGGCAGAACAUGCACCUUGAUUCCAGCUGAAGCUGAAGAACCAGCCAUGAGUUCACCAAAGCGCCAUCCUCCUCCUUCUCCGUGCAACCACGGAGGGGGACAGUGAACACGGCAAGGAAGGAAACAGCGGGCAGCUUGGCUUCCCCUUUCCUGUUGGCAUUAGCUGCUUUAAACAGAGAAGCAAGCCCCAUUUGCAAAGCAUAGCAUGCCUUUGGUGCCAAGGGGUGGUAGCACGAGUACCAGCACAGUGGGGAGCCUUGGCCACGCAACCCUGCUCAUCCGCCUCGGGAGAAGGGGAAAAGAGGG